GCGCCGGUGGUGUAAGGCGAACAUCGCUGCCCGGAAAGCAGAAGAUGCGGGUUCGAGUCCCGCCUGGCGUU
rnacentral:tRNA from 1 species